UACGUAGGGACCGAGCGUUGUCCGGAAUCAUUGGGCGUAAAGAGCGUGUAGGCGGCCUUUUAAGUCCUGCGUGAAAUCCUGCGGCUCAACCGCAGACGGUCGUGGGAAACUGGAAGGCUAGAGUGCGGGAGAGGAGAGUGGAAUUCCCGGUGUAGCGGUGAAAUGCGCAGAUAUCAGGAGGAACACCGAUGGCGAAGGCAGUUCUCUGGGCUGUAACUGACGCUGAGGAGCGAAAGCGUGGGGAGCGAACAGG
rnacentral:rRNA from 1 species